UCUUCCCCCUCCUCCUUCUUUCCUUUUACGUGAUCGAUACGCGCCGCACCAGCACCGGGGAGGGGGAACCAACUAGGCGGCAGAGUAGGAACUGUUUCCAUGGCAACCGCCGCGUCUUUUCCUCCCCGCCCCCCCCCUUCAGCCUUCCGCAUGGAAUGGAAAGCCUAACAAUUCUACGGAAUGGCCUGAGAGACAAAAGAGCUUGUUGGGCAAGUGGGAGAUGAAACGCGCCUCCCUUGCUCCAAGAUGGAAGAGCGAGGGGAAGAGCCGGAUCAGGGGUCGCUAGAGGGGCAGCAGUUACAUCCAGGAAGAGUUCUGAUUACUGAGGUGGAGGUAGAUCCGGAUUUUUCCAUAUCUGCAGAGGAGCCCCGAAUACCCGCAGAGGAGCCCCGAAUACCCGCAGAGGAGCCCCGAAUACCCGCAGAGGAGCCCCGAAUACCCGCAGAGGAGCCCCAAAUACCCGCAGAGGAGCCCCAAAUACCCGCAGAGGAGCCCCAAAUACCCGCAGAGGAGCCCCAAAUACCUGCAGAGGAACUCCAGACGUUUUCAGAGGAGCCCCAAAUAACUGCAGAGGAGCCCCAAAUAACUGCAGAGGAACUCCAAAUAUUUUCAGAGGAGCCCCAAAUAACUCCAGAGGAGCCCCAAAUAUCUUCAGAGGAACUUCAGAUAGCUGCAGAUGACCUCCAGAUAACUGCAGAGGAACUUCAGAUAGCUGCAGAGGACCUCCAGAUGACUGCAGAGGAAUUCUCAAUGGACCAGUUACCGGAAGCUACCGAGGCAGAAGCUGAGGAGGAACCUCCUGCUACUGCACCUUCAACCACAUCAUCUGAUGAAGCUCCACGUUUUGAAACCCUUGCAACUUUGCUCCGUCAAAGUAGAAUUGAAAUUCCAGCGGCUCUUCGUGGGUCACCAACAACGACUCUGGUCAGAUCACUGGAGACUAUGGAGACAAUGAUGGCUUCUCAAGCAGCGGAGGUACAAGCUGAACUCCGAGCGGAACUUCAGGCCGAAAUGCAGGCUGAAAUGCAGGCCAUCCCACCAGCAGCCCCACCGGCCGAGGGCACUGUGGCCCCAUUAGCCCAGCCUGAGGAGGAGCCUGAGGAGCCCAUGCUUGAGGUGUACGAAGAUCCCUUUGAGGUUUCUGUUAGGUACAUGGAGAAACAUAACAUCCUGCAAAUAUUUCAGGUUUCCUCCCCUUUCUGGAAGGCUGUCCUUCCAACCCUAGUGGUCAGUGGCAUUGAGUCCCACCCGCUCCUUGCCUCUGCAUCCAUGGUGGUCAGUGCUACCUGCACUAUCCCAUUUGGCACCCAUCUCAAGCCAGGCAGCUGCCUACAGGCCAUGCAGACCUCCUUGCCUCUGUGCUGCUCCACUCCCAGCCAACCCUGCCUCCCCAACCCACAGCUGAUCAUCAGUCAGGCAUGCUCCUGCCUGCCUGCCUGACCCUGCACUGCCCAAUGAUGCAAGCAGAGGAAGCCCUCUCUCCUGGCUCCCUCGCCCCUGCCAGCUGAAUCUCUUGUUUUUUGUGUUGUGUCAUAAAAUGUGUGCUUGCGGGGAAAGAAGAGGUUAAUGUUUUUGUGUCAGGGUUGUUUUUCUUUCUUUAGUUGUUUAUACAAAGAUUAAAAGUUCAGAUCUGUAGAUUUCUGUUACUAAGCCAAAAACAAGGGAAAGGUCAGAAGUUUAGUUUGGGAGUGGUUGUCCAGGUCAAACAGUUAAGGCAAAGGAAAGUUCAAAGUAAACCUAAACUCGUGAUUGGCUGGUUGAGAGGAGGAGGGAAGAGUGUUGGGAGAUAAAAAGACAGAGUUUAGGGAAAGCAAGUCAGAGGGAGACAGAGUUGGAGACUGGCAAAGACAGUGUAGGAAGAAGGAACAGAAGUGCUGCUGGAGGAAAAAGAUAUGACUUAAGGGAGCUGCUGGUGAGGCUGACUGUUCUCAGAAUAGGAUAGCUGGGUGUGCUUAUUCCAUUUUAUCUUGUCUUUUGCUCUAAGGGUUAUUGUCCUUUUUAUUUCAGAAAUACUUCAAAACCUAUAUCUAAAAUUGGAUUACUUCCCCCGCCCCGGUUCAGUCUUUGAUAAAUAAAAGGAAACAGGAAGAGGGAAUGCAGACAGGCAACUGAAAGUUUGCACACCUUAAGGAAGUCUCGGAUGCCUCCAAUGCCCUUGCCGUCAUGGGUGUAGCAAGUUCCAGCACUGCCGACUGUUUUGCUCUGUCUGUGCAAAUGCUAUAGUUUUGAACAACAUUGCUGGUAACUGGUUUAUUUCACUGUGGGUGCUGUUCUGGGUUAUCCAGGAGGAUAUAGAGUACCCAGGAGCAUAGGAGCAUGGAUGAUCCAAUGCAUUGUAGGAGGCAAUAGCCACUGAGGUACUAUCCAUAAGCAUGAUCAAUCCAACAGUAGAGCAGGAAUCCUCAAAUUCCUUCACGCCCAGUGCAGCAGCAAGAGCUGGUGUACUCAUGCAGCUGAAUCAAGUGGUGCAGCUCUUGCUGGGCCAGCCCAUUUCAGAUUACAAGUGGGGGGGGUUACAUGUUGGACAGCUACCCACAGUGGAGGAGAGGAGAUGACCCUGCAUGUAGAAAGCUAGGAAGAAGUGCUCUGGGGUAGCCGCCUCCUUGAGGUCCCAGAUUGAUAUGUACAAGGAGAGCUAUUUAUCUCAUACAGAAACAGUCAGGUAGGACAGUCCAGGAAAAGUUGUAUCACAUGAUUCUGCUGCCCAUGCAGAUCAGCUGUAAUACCUGCAAGUAAAUGGCUUCAAGAUCAGUUUAUAACUCUCCAGUAGUCAAGCACGAUUACUUCCUAACAACUAGCUUAUUUCACAAUUUGGUUAAGUAUUUAAUGUAAAGUUACUUAAUCCCGUUGAUGUUAAUGAAAGUACAUUCAUUCAAACCACAGCACUUCAGCUUAACUAAAUUAUGAACUGUUUGAUAGUCUGGCUCUUGUCAUUUGACAACAUGAGUGAAGCCGUAAUAACUUAAAAUCAGGCUUUAACCAAUUCUCAAUUAAAAUCUAGGUUCUUGAGCUUAUCUAGAACAUUGCUUGAUAGAAUAAAUCUUUGCAUUUUCUGAGUCUGGUUUUAAAGUUCUAAUGAUAUCUAACAAGAUAAAUGAGAAUCCAUUCAUCUUGUUCACAAUAAUGCCAACACCAAAUAAACUCUCCCAAAGGCCCAGAUGCAACUAGCCAAUUUUGAGAUUUGUCCAUAUGGGGGCAGGUUCACAAGACAUCAGCUCCACGGAAAUUCCUGUGGUAUGCAUGCUGCUUUAGAGUGAUCAUGUAAACUCCAGAAAUGUUCUCUGAGGUCCAGUUGGCAACAUGCCAACCCAACAUGAAGCUAAGAUGAGUUAUCUUAUAUUUGAAUUCAGCUUGACAGCGUUGGCUUCACGUUGGGUUGAUACAUUGCCAGCUGGAGAUUGGAAAACAUUUCUAGGCUUACAUUAUCACACUACCAUAGUGGAUGCACUGCAGGAAUCUCUAGAUACCUGAGAAGCCGACGUUAGAUUAAUUGUGUGAAAGACCUAUGUGUGUGGUAUGAGUUGUUGAAAGAAACAGAAAUCAAAAUUAAAACAGAUGGUAACUUGCAGAGGUGCCCAUGCAAUGGCUAAACCUUAUUUGUAAUAUAUUCUUCUCUUCUAGAGAUGAUGGGGAGGGGGCCAAGUGAUUAUCGAGUGUGUGUGUGUGUGUGUGUGUGUGUGUGAUAAAUUGACCGAGAAGGGUAAGUAUGUUUCUACAGCAACCCGUUUUCUUUAGUGGUCACUUGUGAAUUCUACAGUUGUCUCAGUCUGAUUCUGAAAUCUAGCUAGAAUACCUGGGUUUACUUUCCACAAUGUUUGAAGGCCAAACUAUGGCAUUAAUCCAGAAUUAUUCUGUGAGUUCUAAGGCCAAGAAAUGGCAGACUGGUUGUUGCUAACUUCUUGCAUGGAAUCUUAGAAUGGUUCCGACUUCUUAGAUGGUAUUAAAUUGUCAUCUUUGUGCAGCUGCUGAUCAUGUGCAUACGAAGGCUCUGAUUCUGCUGAAUAAAAAAAUAUAUUACUGUA